CGUGGAGACAGGUGGUGCAUGGCUGUCGUCAGCUCGUGUCGUGAGAUGUUGGGUUAAGUCCCGCAACGAGCGCAACCCUCACCCCUAGUUGCCACCGGGUAAAGCCGAGCACUCGAGGGGAACUGCCAGCGUCAAGCUGGAGGAAGGCGGGGAUGACGUCAAGUCAUCAUGCCCCUUACGCCCUGGGCUACACACGUGCUACAAUGGCCGGUACAAAGGGACGCGAGACCGCGAGGUGGAGCUAAUCCCAACGAACCGGUCUAAGUUCAGAUUGCAGUCUGCAACUCGACUGCAUGAAGGAGGAAUCGCUAGUAAUCGCGCAUCAGCACGGCGCGGUGAAUACGUUCCCGGGCCUUGUACACACCGCCCGUCACACCACGAAAGCUGUCUGUACUCGAAGUCGCUGAG
rnacentral:rRNA from 1 species